CCUCAUAUACCAAAUCAUGUCCUCAUAAACCAUGAGUAAGCACACACACUAAACACACACAGGUGUUAUAAAGUCAUAGUGUAAUGUUUAGUCACAUACAGUCGCCAUAUUCGGUCCUCAUAUACCAAAUCAUGUCCUCAUAAACCAUGAGUAAGCACACGCUAAACACACACAGGUGUUAUGCAGCGACAGUGUACUGCUUAGUCACAUACAGUCGCCAUAUUCGGUCCUCAUAUACCAAAUCAUGUCCUCAUAAAC